rnacentral:rRNA from 1 species
UACGUAGGGGGCAAGCGUUGUCCGGAUUUAUUGGGCGUAAAGCGCGCGUAGGCGGCUACUUAUGUCGGAUGUGAAAGCCCUUGGCUCAACUGAGGAAGUGCACCCGAAACUGAGUAGCUGGAGUACGAAAGAGGGUCGCGGAAUUCCCGGUGUAGAGGUGAAAUUCGUAGAUAUCGGGAGGAACACCGGUGGCGAAGGCGGCGACCUGGGUCGAUACUGACGCUGGAGCGCGAAAGCGUGGGGAGCAAACAGG